rnacentral:rRNA from 1 species
AGCUCCCAACGUGUAUAUCGUCAUUGCUGCGGUUAAAAAGCUCGUAGUUGGAUCUUAGUUCACGACAGUAGUUCACCUUGUGUGAUACUGCUUGUCUGGACUGUUUCGUCGGUUUUCCUYGGUUUCGGCCUUGGUGRCUGAUGUUGUAACUUUGAUUAAAUCAAUGUGAUUAAAACAGGCGUUUGCUUGAAUGCUUUAUCAUGGAAUAAUAGAAUAUGACUUCGGUCCAUUCUGUUGGUCUUGGGAUUGAAGUAAUGAUUAAAAGGAACAAAUCGGGGGCAUCCGUAUCGCUGCGUGAGAGGUGAAAUUCUUGGACCGCAGCGAGACGACCUAUUGCGAAAGCAUUUGCCAAGAAUGUUUUCAUUAA